UACGGGGGGGGCGAGCGUUGUCCGAAGUUACUGGGCGUAAAGCGCGUGUAGGCGGGUUGUUAAGUCCGCUGUGAAAGCCCGGUGCUCAACGCCGGAGGGUCGGUGGAUACUGGCAGUCUUGAAGUGGCUAGGGGGAAAUGGAAUUACCGGUGUAGCGGUGAAAUGCGUAGAUAUCAAGUGGAACACCAGUGGCGAAGGCGAGUCUCUGGACAUUUCCUGACGCUGAGGCACGAAAGCCAGGGGAGCAAACGGG
rnacentral:rRNA from 1 species